GAGAUGUGGAUACCCGUCAGUCUACUUGGGGUUAUUUGAUCAUUUUCUCAGCAGGGGCUGUUUCUUGGCAGUCGAGGUUACAAAAAUGUAUUGCACUUUCUACAACUGAAGCAGAGUUGCCUGCAGCAACGGAAGCUUGUAAAGAGUUGCUAUGGAUGAAAAUUUUUUUACAGGAGCUUGGUUUCACACAACAACAAUAUGAGUUGUUUUGUGAUAAUUAGAGUACUAUUCACCUUGCUAAGAAUUCUUCAUUUCAUUCGAGAUCGAAACACAUUGAUGUAAGGUACCAUUGGAUAAGAGAUACUCUUAAUGACUAGUUGAUAACUCUUGAGAAAAUUCACACCGAUGAUAAUGGCUCCAGUAUGUUAACGAAGGCUUUAGCAAGGGAGAAGCUUGAAAUUUGUCGCUCAAUUGUUGGGAUGGCGAAUCCCCCUACCUAGUCGGGAAGGGGGAGAUUUGUUGGGUUGGGUUUCCCUCCUAAGUGAGGAUGGCCCAAACUUACUCAAAAUGGGCCCAUGUGUGGAGAGACCAUUUGGGAGAAUAGGGUUAAACCCUAUCCUUUGCUGCUGCAAUGAGUGGUGAAUGUACAAUCAGAAAAUAAGAAAGAAAAAGAAGGGAGAGCCACAGCCGCCACAGAGAGAGAGAGAGAGCGCUGUCCAGUUUUGAUCAAUUGCUCCAAUCAACGAGCAUUCCUGGUCCAAUUGAGCUGAAAAUUUACAGGGAUGUUCAUGACACGUGAAUCUUCAUUGUGAACAGUGGAGAUUGGAUUCCGAGCAUUCAGUGUCGGUUUUUAGUUCGUGAACAGUAGCCUCGGUUUUUCCCACCGCCACAUAGAGAGAAAACUAUCCAAUUUUGAUCAACAACUCCGAUCAAUUAGCAUUCGUGGUUCAAUUGAGCUGAAAAUUUAUAAGAAUGUUCAUGACACGUGAAUAUUCAUUGUGAAUGAUGGAGAUUGGAUUCUGAGCAUUCGGUGCUCGUGAACAAUUUUGGGCCUUCUUUACCUUAAAAGUUAGCUCAAGGAGUGAUACUUUCCCUCAAUUAGCAUUCGUGGUUCAAUUGAGCUGAAAAUUUAUAAGAAUGUUCAUGACACGUGAAUAUUCAUUGUGAAUGAUGGAGAUUGGAUUCUGAGCAUUCGGUGUCAGUUUUCAGCUUGUGAACAGUUUUGGGCCUUCUUUACCUUAAAAGUUAGCUCAAGGAGUGAUACUUUCCCUCACACUUAAUAACUCACCACCAGCCCAUUCCACGACCGAUGUGGGAUAACCCAACAAUCUUCCCCUCACACAUCGAAGUCUCUCCCGGCAAAGCAACCAUCGGGGUCUCCCCUGACACACUAGGGAGAAUGUUGGUGAACCAAAGUCUGAUACCAGUGUUAGGUGGUUUAGGGCCUUCCCAACCCUAAAAGCUAGUUUAUGGGGUGAGACUUUCCCUCACACUUAAUAAUUGACCACCAAUCCCUUCCACAACCGAUGUGGGAUAAUCUCAACAUUGUAAAUAGUUCAACAUAGGAGAAAAAUGUUUGCUUAUGAUAGUGUUUUGACAAAAGUAAGAAGAAAAUUACAAGAAGCGCAACAAAAAAAAAAAAAAAAAUUCUUUUUUGUAUUAUUGAAGUUUGGCUUCCAUUUGUUAGAGAACACAAAAAAUUGACUUGGAUGAACUAAAGGCAGAUCUUGCAGCACUCAACUAUAUAGAAAACUGACAUGGAAUAUAUGACAAAUUGGAAUAGUAGAACAACAAACCCAGCCUAAUGUCCCAAUUGCUGCAAGGCUAAAGUAGCAUUUAUUCUAAAGUAGGAAUAAACCGGUUUUUUUUUUUUUUUAAAUAAAGUUGAAACAACAUUUCAUCUUGUAGCCCUAAUUAAUCAAUGAUAGGAACAGAUUUUUUUUUUUAAAUAAAGACAACAUAAUGACAUGUCAUGUAAUUGUACACUGUGGCAACUGUCAUUAACACCGUUUGGUCUACUAUGAAUGAUAAAUGCAGUCAUGUUAAAUUAUUAAGUAGAGGUCCUUAAUUACAUCAAUUAAAAGUAUAAGUAUCAAAAUGAUUUUUCAUGAGUAAUACAGGACUCAUUUGUUAUUUCGCUCAUUUAUUUAUCUAUUGUUUGCUCAAAAUGCUCAAAUUCCUCUGUGAACAUCAAGCCUUGUUGAUCGAUCAACAAUCCUUUUUAAAAAAAAAAAUUAUUUCUUCCCAGUCUUGAUGAACACUUGAUAUAUGUCCUUGUGCAGCAACCUCUACCUCUGAUUCAGCAUAUGCAGGUUAACACUCAGGGACUACAUUGAAGAUUUAAAUUGCUGGUUUUUGAUUUUUUUUUUCCCAGUCAGAAAAACUGGAAAAUGGUGUUGAACGUUGCUCUUCUGGUGGGUCCGGUGUGUAACCAGUGAACUGUCUGUCGAAGCUACUGAGUUUUACAACAUUGUCUUAUAAUUUUUACUGACUUAUUAUAUUUUUGAACGGUUCAUUGUUUGCACUUCUGGUUUUAAUCUACUGGUGGUUGACUGAUUGCAA